rnacentral:tRNA from 1 species
UCCCUUGUAGCUCAAUCAGUAAAGAAUCUGCUUGCAGUGCAGAAGACCCAGGUUCGAUCCCUGAGUUGGGAA